CCUACGGGAGGCAGCAGUGGGGAAUAUUGCACAAUGGGGGAAACCCUGAUGCAGCGACGCCGCGUGAGUGAAGAAGUACUUCGGUAUGUAAAGCUCUAUCAGCCGGGAAGAAAAUUACGGUACCUGAGUAAGAAGCCCCGGCUAACUACGUUCCAGCAGCCGCGGUAAUACGUAGGGGGCAAGCGUUAUCCGGAUUUACUGGGUGUAACGGGAGCGUAGACGGCAGUGCAAGUCUGGAGUGAAAGGCCGGGGCUCAACGCCGGGACUGCCCUGGAAACUGUGCGGCUGGAGUGCAGGAGAGGUAAGUGGAAUUCCUAGUGUAGCGGUGAAAUGCGUAGAUAUUAGGAGGAACACCAGUGGCGAAGGCGGCUUACUGGACUGUAACUGACGUUGAGGCUCGAAAGCGUGGGGAGCAAACAGGAUUAGAUACCCCUGUAGUC
rnacentral:rRNA from 1 species